GACGAACGCUGGCGGCGUGCUUAACACAUGCAAGUAGAACGGAAAGGCCCUGCUUUUGUGGGGUGCUCGAGUGGCGAACGGGUGAGUAACACGUGAGUAACCUGCCCUUGACUUUGGGAUAACUUCAGGAAACUGUGGCUAAUACCGGAUAGGAGCACCUGCUGCAUGGUGUGUGUUGGAAAGUUUCGGCGGUUGGGGAUGGACUCGCGGCUUCUCAGCUUGUUGGUGGGGUAGUGGCUUACCAAGGCUUUGACGGGUAGCCGGCCUGAGAGGGUGACCGGGCACAUUGGGACUGAGAUACGGCCCAGACGGCUACGGGAGGCAGCGGUGGGGAAUAUUGCACAAUGGGCGGAAGCCUGAUGCAGCAACGCCGCGUGCGGGAUGACUGCCGUCGGGGUGGAAACCGCUUUCGCCUGUGACGAAGCGUGAGUGACGGUAAUGUGUAAAGAAGCACCGGCUAACUACGUG
rnacentral:rRNA from 1 species